AUACGAAAGGUGCAAGCGUUGUUCGGAUUUACUGGGCGUAAAGAGAUCGUAGGUGGUUUGUUAAGUCGGAUGUGAAAUCCCGGGGCUCAACCCCGGAACUGCAUUCGAUACUGGCAGACUAGAGUUUGGGAGGGGUAAGCGGAAUUCCGUGUGUAGCAGUGAAAUGCGUAGAUAUACGGAGGAACACCUGAGGCGAAGGCGGCUUACUGGACCAAUACUGACACUGAGGAUCGAAAGCGUGGGUAGCAAACAGGAUUAGAAACCCUUGUAGUCC
rnacentral:rRNA from 1 species